UACGUAGGGGGCUAGCGUUGUCCGGAAUCAUUGGGCGUAAAGCGCGUGUAGGCGGUCCGGUAAGUCCGCUGUGAAAGUCGGGGGCUCAACCCUCGAAUGCCGGUGGAUACUGUCGGGCUAGAGUGCGGAAGAGGCGAGUGGAAUUCCUGGUGUAGCGGUGAAAUGCGCAGAUAUCAGGAGGAACACCAAUUGCGAAGGCAGCUCGCUGGGACGUAACUGACGCUGAGACGCGAAAAGCGUGGGGAGCAAACAGG
rnacentral:rRNA from 1 species